AAAUAAUUAAAUCGGACCCAAAUAAAUAAUGCAUGAGUGUAAGUGCAAGAGAACCGGCUCAUUGUAAGAAAGCCCAAGAGUAAGCUAUGUGAGGUUGACGGCGAGGCUUAAAAAGGCCAUCGACUUACAAGGGUGUGAAAAAGGGGGCUCGAUAUUAAAUCGAGAAAAUAUGAUUUUUAUAGUUUUCAAAUGGUUUCGAAUGCAUGACGAAUUUAAUAAAAAAAACACGGACAUAAAAACUAUUAAAAGAAACAAAAUGCUAAAAGAUGAUAAAAUACUAAAAAGAAAUAAAAAAUGAAAUGCUAAAAGAAAAAUGAAAUACUAAAAAAAUGCUACAUGCUAGUAUCGAACCCACUCCCCUUGAGACUAUGGA
rnacentral:lncRNA from 1 species